ACACCAGGAUGGAAAAUUUUACUUUUUGGUUUGUCUUUAGAUAUUUUCAACCCAACCUCAACACAAAUUCACAUGAUUCGUGCAUGUUUAGCUAGCUUUUUAUUAUUUUCUUUAACAUAAAUAUCGGUUCCUUGUUUUGAAAUACUUUUUUUUGCGUGCAUUAAUAUGAUACACUCUCCCUCUUAGUGUUUAUUUUUUAAAAUCCUGAAACCAAAGAAAAGCAAACACUUCUAAAAUCUAUUGCAUAGUCGCGUGUCCAGCCUGAAGUUGUUCUUAUUAUUUUCUUCUUACGACCUAGAAUCAAGCAUACACAAAUUUUACAAAAUUACAACAAAUUUCGGCCUUCCUUCCAUUGUUUUUAAUUUAUUUUUAAAAAUGUUAUUGUAAUGAAGUGUAGCUGUCAGAAUAAGUUUUCCACUUAGUUCCAUGCAUGGAAGUUGUCAAAAAUAUGUUUUAACAGUUAAUAACCACUUUUGCAGAACAGGAGAAGAAGUUGCGAAAGUCUGUUCCGAAACAAGAAGUAAUUUUUCGGCUUUUGCUUUCUCAAAGUGCAAUUCUAAGAUCUGUUUUCACGCAGGAAAUGACGGGUGUCCGAGGUUGUUAAAUUACUGUCAUUAAGUGAGCAAUCAGUCGAUCAUGAUCACUUUAAGCAUGUUUUUUUUUCUUAACAUAGGCAUUUAAGCUCACUCUACUUUGUUUGUUUAAAAUUCAUGUCAAGGUGAACAAAAUUUUUCCUUUAUGACAAAUUUUCGUAAACAAAUGAGUAAAAAAUUCACAGAACGCGGAAUGCAUGACGACGAAUGUUUUAAGUAUCAUACGAUUAAGAAUGUUUUGAAGUUAGCGCUUCCGUAUAGCUUUAUGUUGAUGUUUUACUGUACAAAAAUUUUAACAACGCCACACCAUACUUGAAAAAUAUUCGCUUCGGUUCCAUCAUAGUAGAUCCUUGAAAACUCGUGUUAUGAACCUAAACAUUUAGGUCAAUACAUUGAAACUUAGUCAGCUCUUCGUUUCAUGUAACGUUCCAAAUUUGAUAAAAUACAGAACGGUUAAAAAAUGUCCACCGGUAGAAAUAACCACGCUUUUUCAGUUAUAAAUAUUUGUGUUUCUAUGUAAGCAAAAGUAAGAAUGUGAAGUGCUUUCAUUGAUCGUUGCUUGCACGUGGAAAACCCACACUAUAUUCAGUUUUAUGUAUUGAAUGAAUCAUCUUGGACAGAAAAAAAAAACACGAAUUUUGAACAUCAUGACAGUAUUUGGCGGAUAAAAAUCUCUGUUAAAUACAAAAGUAAACUUAGAAUGUUAUUUGUAGUAAAAAUAGAAUAGAAAUUUGAAACUUGUCAUUAUCCUUCACAUUACGGCCUCAUUGGAGUGACAACCGUGAAGGAGAGCUUUUAUUUUAAAAGAGUCAGCAAAAUAUUAUUAUUAAUUAAAAUGAAAAACAACAUAUGACGUUUACAUGAGUUUAUCCUAAUAAGGAACUUUCAUUAUUUGCGCUCUCAGAGCAUAUAAAUACGACACAUGCUCGAUGUAGCUUUUAAAAAUCUACUAGAGCUCAACGAAGAAGCAUCUCAACAACUCAGGAUUUAUUCUACAAGAUGUUUAAGCUAUACACUUUUACACUGUUAUUCGCUCUAUCGAUUAGCACACAUCUUGUUGCAUCAGCUCCCACGCAAAGUAAAGAAUUAAACGAUGUCGGAUCGAUCCAAUCGAAAGAUUUCACGUGUCGCAGUUUAUGUAACGGAGAAUACGAUAUUUGCUUAGAUGCUAUUCGUUCUUUUUGGGAGAAGUUUAUUUGUUAUCAUAAUCUCCAUCAGUGCAUAUACAAGUGUAAAACAAAAAAACCAAUCGCCGCAGCGCUACAUUCAAAUGAUGUCAUGUCGGAUUCCAUUAUAAAAGCGCAAAGAAAAAAACUGAAGCAAAUUUGGUCCUAACAGGUCCGAAUAUGUUUUGUACAAAAUAUUAUUUUUCUUUAAAUAAGUUAUAUUUGUUAAUUAUUAUUUAUAUUUGGUGUAUUUAAUGUAGAAAAACUUUUAAAUAUAUAUAUUGUAAAUACAUUGAACACAAGAAUAUAAAUGAAUUUUUCAAAAAAAUAUUUAUUAUACCUGUUACAACUUUGCAACCUCGUCCCAAGGACUUAUUAGGCUUUUUAUAUUUGGGCGCCUAACAAGUCCUGUGGACGAGGUUGACGAUUUUGUCAUGAAGUUUAUAAGCUAGUUAGAUUAAAAUGGGACAAGUGUAUUUUUAUGGCUGGAAAGAAUUAAAAUUUCUUUAAAGAGAAAAAAAAAUUU